CUACGGGAGGCAGCAGUGAGGAAUAUUGCACAAUGGGGGGAACCCUGAUGCAGCAACGCCGCGUGGAGGAUGACGCAUUUCGGUGUGUAAACUCCUUUUAUAUGUCAAGAAAAUGACGGUAGCAUAUGAAUAAGCACCGGCUAACUCCGUGCCAGCAGCCGCGGUAAUACGGAGGGUGCAAGCGUUACUCGGAAUCACUGGGCGUAAAGGACGCGUAGGCGGGUUGGAAAGUCAGGUGUGAAAUCCUACAGCUUAACUGUAGAACUGCACUUGAAAUUUCUAAUCUAGAGUGUGGGAGGGGGAGAUGGAAUUAGUGGUGUAGGGGUAAAAUCCGUAGAUAUCACUAGGAAUACCUAAAGCGAAGGCGAUCUCCUGGAACAUUACUGACGCUAAGGCGUGAAAGCGUGGGGAGCAAACAGGAUUAGAUACCCGGGUAGUC
rnacentral:rRNA from 1 species